rnacentral:rRNA from 1 species
CCAAUAGCGUAUAUUAAAGUUGUUGCAGUUAAAAAGCUCGUAGUUGAAUUUCGGAAUCUGUCCAUCGGUCGGGCUUCACUGUCCGUACUGGUGUGGUGGGUUCUUACCUUCUGAAUAACCAGCAUGCCAUUCAUUUGGUGCGUUGGGGAAGCAGGACUAUUACCUUGAAAAAAUUAGAGUGCUCAAAGCAGGCCAGUGCCUGAAUACAUUAGCAUGGAAUAAUAAAAUAGGACGGCAUGGUUCUAUUUUGUUGGUUUCUAGGAUCACCGUAAUGAUUAAUAGGGAUAGUUGGGGGCAUUAGUAUUCAAUUGUCAGAGGUGAAAUUCUUGGAUUUAUUGAAGACUAACUUCUGCGAAAGCAUUUGCCAAGGAUGUUUUCAUUAAUCAAGAACGAAAGUUAGGGGAUCGAAGACGAUCAGAUACCGUCGUAGUCUUAACCAUAAACUAUGCCGACUAGGGAUCGGACGAUGUUAAUUUUUUAAUGACUCGUUCGGCGCCUUACG